rnacentral:rRNA from 1 species
GGGUUAGUAGGUUGGUCAUGCCUCCGGUAUGUACUGGUCUCACUGAUUCCUCCUUCCUGAUGAGCCGUAAUGCCAUUAAUUUGAUGACUUUGAGGAAUCGGAACUUUUACUUUGAAAAAAUUAGAGUGUUUAAAGCAGGCUUAUUAGGCUUGAAUACAUUAGCAUGGAAUAAUGAAAUAGGACGAUUGAUCCUAUUUUUGUUGGUUUCUAGGAUUGACGUA